UUUGUAUGUUAAGAAAGCAGGACUGAAUGAAGGACAAUGUUCUCAAAGGUACAAACUUACGCGCGCACACUCCUUUUAUAUGAGCGUUUGAAGAGAUUCUAAACAUUGAAUACAGAAGUAAACAGAACUGCUAACUAAGGUCAUAUCCACACCAUACAUUUGAAGCAUAUGGCUUCUGCCAGAGAAUCCUGGAACCUGUAGCUUACCCUUCCCUACAGAGCUACAAUUCGCAGCACCCUUAACAAACUACAGUUCUCACAAUUCUUUUGGGGAAAACCUGGUGCUUUAAAGCCUAGAAGUGAGAAGAUGUCCAGUACUUCUACAAGAUGAGAGGUGAGAUCAGCUCUGUUUCUGAAGCUUCAUUGCAAUUGGAACACAGGCCACCCUGACUGUUCCUGGAUGCAGGAUCACAUGGAGAAAUGGACUUGUACAGCCAGCAGCAGAUAAGAGGGAUUCCCAUGAUCACAGGAGCUGGAAAAAGGGCUGCUGCAGUCUUGGAGACUGAUAGCCACUUUUGCUGACUUACUCAAAUGCAACCCAGAGGAAAAAUGUUUCUGCCUUACAUCUUUGUCUUGUUGGCUUUCUGAAUUAAGUGGUGGAAGUAAGAAUCGGCUACCUGAGCACUUUUUUCUCCGAGGCUCAAACUUAGUAUCUUAAUUAUAGUCAAGUAGUUCUUCCCCACCCCUAAGCAUAGUUAUUUUUUUAUCCAAAGCAGUUGUUCAGGCUGCCAUCCCCAUCAAGGGACCAGCAGGGGGAGGGGAGGGGCAUUUGAUGGUCACCUCUUUUGCUGACAGUUUUCCACCAUCUACAAAUGGGGGGGGGCACACCUGGAGGGAGCUUGGCAGUGGAAAACCAGCAGAAAGUAAAACACCACACCCAGGAGGCAUCCUUUGGAAAUUGCAGUCUUAAUGGCUGAUUUUGAGAGGAAAUGUUUCAGAAGGCUACACACUAUUAAUUAGUCAGUCAAAUUUUAUUAUGUAGUCACAGACUUGUUAAAACACACACAUACAAUUGAUGCCGUGUGUUCGGGAAGCCAAACUUAAGACUUGGGAGAGACAAUGCAAAUGGGUGAAAUGUAACGCAAAUGUGAUCUCCAGAAGACUCAGAAACUGCUUGAGUAUAAGCCAUGAAAGGCUCUUGGUGAUACUCGUGGAGAGAUGAACUGGGAUGCAUUUUCUUUGGACAGUUGCACAUUGUUUGCGUGCCAAGGACGUGCUUGCCUUCUCUGAGGAUAGCUUUGCAGCCACUCAUUGGCACAUCCUGUGAUGUGUGCUGCAGUGUUUCUCAGACAUUUGGAACUUGCACAACCCCUUUCCAAACUUCUUCUGCCCCCUGAGAUCCCACUCCCCAUCCAACACCAGCCACCUGUUCCAUAGCAGAAUGGGCAGAGAUCAUAGCAAACAUAAACGCCCUACUUUCCUGAGUCCACAAAUUAUGGCAGAGAUGCCUGGGUCUGUAAUUUACCAUUUCUGAAUGUUACAGUUUAAGUUGAGCAUAGUGAAAUAGAACAUUUUGG